AGUGAACGCUGGCGGUAGGCCUAACACAUGCAAGUCGAACGGCAGCACAGUAAGAGCUUGCUCUUACGGGUGGCGAGUGGCGGACGGGUGAGGAAUACAUCGGAAUCUACUUUUUCGUGGGGGAUAACGUAGGGAAACUUACGCUAAUACCGCAUACGACCUACGGGUGAAAGCAGGGGAUCUUCGGACCUUGCGCGAUUGAAUGAGCCGAUGUCGGAUUAGCUAGUUGGCGGGGUAAAGGCCCACCAAGGCGACGAUCCGUAGCUGGUCUGAUAGGAUGAUCAGCCAAACUGGAACUGAGACACGGUCCAGACUCCUACGGGAGGCAGCAGUGGGGAAUAUUAGACAAUGGGCGCAAGCCUGAUCCAGCCAUACCGCGUGGGUGAAGAAGGCCUUCGGGUUGGAAAGCCCUUUUGUUGGGAAAGAAAAGCAGCAGGUUAAUACCCCGCUGUUCUGACGGUACCCAAAGAAUAAGCACCGGCUAACUUCGUG
rnacentral:rRNA from 1 species